AUGUUUAGCCCAGCAUCUGGCUCCUAAGCGGUGCCAUGUGGCCAGUCAGUGAUAAAUGAUGGGAGACAGUAUAUGGUAUGUCCAAAAGGAGUGACAGAAAGUGUGGAGGGAAUUUGGACUCACAUUGAUAGUCACUGCAAUGGGGCCUAAACAUGCUAAGCACCUUCCACACGAGAGGUAUAGAGAGCCAGCAAAAGCUCGACUCUUCCAUCUAACAAGCACCACAAACCUAGAGUCAUGCUCUACUUUUUUGGAGAAAACAUGUUGGCUUCCCACUGAGCCUGCCAUCAUGAGGCACAAUAGUGGGCAUCUUGGUGGUUUGCUAAUAAUAACAGCUGAUAUUUAUAGAAGGCUCACUGUGGAUCCAGAACUUUACUGAAAAUUCUACAAGAACUGUAUCUCUCAGUCCUCACAUCAACACUAUGAGGAAGGAACUACUGUUACCCCUGCUUUACAGGUGGGGAAAUGAGGCCCAGAUACCAAGUAGCUGUACUAAAAGCACAGAGAUUUAACCUCCUGGACCUUAUUCACCAGAACGCAAGCCAAACCUCCAUAUACAUUUUACUUACUUCCCAAAAUUUUAUGUGUACAUCAAGAGCUGAUCAUAAAUAGAAGGUCAAAGUGACCUAUUGUGACAUCAAAUCUUGGAGCCACUUUAAUGUGACUUCACUAAAUUGCCUUCGUCCAGUGCCUCACAGACAGCAUCCCAGCACAUCAUGGAGAGCUAAGUGACAGAACAGGCAGCUCCUCUUCUCCCUGGAGGGGAGAACAGAGAUGGAUUUCUAUCAAAAGGAGCCACUAUGUGCUGUUACAUGCCAUAUACAUGACAUGGGCAGUGUUUAAUCAUUCCCUUUGCAAAGGAUCCCCAAAUUGGGAGAGGCUGGAUGGAUGACUAAGUCAAGUUGGUGCAAAAUGAGUCACGUUUCUUGAAGGUCACUUCCCCAAAUGUAUGAGCCACCAAAGGGAAAGGAAAACUAUUUCUUAAGGUUCUAAGAAUUAAGUAGCAUGAAAUCCAAAUCUAAAAUCAUUGUCUCCAUGCUUCAUUGAAGAAAAUGAACGUGAAAAAAUCCAAUAGCAGCUGCAAACCAUUUAAGAAUUCCUAGUUAAACUGCAAAAUACAUUUUCAACCAUUUAGCCAUAACAACUUCUAAACGGAGAAAGUUGCUUCUUUAUAUAAACCACCUCUGUUUACCAAACAUCAGAGAAUCUCCGGGCAGAGGGCUACUGCAGGAUGGGAAUAGUAAGAGAAUGUUACAACCCAUGAGGUGCUGAUCUGCACACACCACCGUGAGGAAAUACCUUAAGUGAUUAAAGACAAACGCCACCUGCAUGCUUGGCAAAGGAGUCCACUGCUAUCGCCACACACUCUCCCCAGUGAGAGAGGGGAAACGAUGGACUGAAGUCCCACAGUGGAUUAGAACUGGGCACAAAAGGAGCCAGGAACAGAAGAUGGCAGCAUAGGAAGGGAAUGUUAUGCUUUGCCCCAGCUGGGGACUCUGGCAGUAUUAUCACUUAGGCAUCCUGAAGCCCAAACUCAAGAAUAAAGAAUUAAAAUUUCAUAUCUUCUUUGACUUAGUAUCCAGAAAAUUUUGUUGAAU
rnacentral:lncRNA from 1 species